CCUACGGGUGGCAGCAGUGAGGAAUAUUGGUCAAUGGACGCAAGUCUGAACCAGCCAUGCCGCGUGCAGGAAGACGGCUCUAUGAGUUGUAAACUGCUUUUGUACGAGGGUAAACGCAGAUACGCGUAUCUGUCUGAAAGUAUCGGACGAAUAAGGAUCGGCUAACUCCGUGCCAGCAGCCGCGGUAAUACGGAGGAUUCAAGCGUUAUACGGAUUUAUUGGGUUUAAAGGGUGCGUAGGCGGUCGGAUAAGUUAGAGGUGAAAUCCCGAGGCUCAACUUCGGAAUUGCCUCUGAUACUGUUCGGCGAGAGAGUAGUUGCGGUAGGAGGAAUGUAUGGUGUAGCGGUGAAAUGCUUAGAGAUCAUACAGAACACCGAUUGCGAAGGCAGCUUACCAAGCUACUUCUGACGUUGAGGCACGAAAGCGUGGGGAGCAAACAGGAUUAGAUACCCCAGUAGUC
rnacentral:rRNA from 1 species